rnacentral:rRNA from 1 species
AUGCCAGCGGCCAUGUCUUAUGCCGGCACCAUGCCAGCGCCGGCAUACAAUGCCGGCUUCAGAAAAUACCACAGUUCAUGCUGGCGCACUCACCAGCUGGCCGGCACACAUGCCAAGACACAAGAAAUGGUGGGACUUGAGUUCGACCACGCCAUCGCGGCUCCCGUGGUCAUGCCGGCACACCUGCCAGCAUACAAAAAGAUGGCCCUCGACGCCAUAGAUCACUCGUCGUCGAACUUGAGCAUGUCGGCCUGCAUCUUCCCAAACCACGACCUCUUCCUUGGCGACAAGGCGUUGAGAUCCACCUUCAUGAUCUCUGUGACGCCCGGGUAA